rnacentral:rRNA from 1 species
ACUCCUACGGGAGGCAGCAGUGGGGAAUAUUGCACAAUGGGGAAAGCCCUGAUGCAGCCAUGCCGCGUGUGUGAAGAAGGCCUUCGGGUUGUAAAGCACUUUCAGCGAGGAGGAAAGGGUGUAAGUUAAUACCUUACAUCUGUGACGUUACUCGCAGAAGAAGCACCGGCUAACUCCGUGCCAGCAGCCGCGGUAAUACGGAGGGUGCGAGCGUUAAUCGGAAUUACUGGGCGUAAAGCGUGCGCAGGCGGUUUGUUAAGCGAGAUGUGAAAGCCCGGCUGC